rnacentral:tRNA from 1 species
GCCUGGAUAGUUUAGUGGUAAAACGUGUUCUUGGUAAGAACAAGACCGCGGGUUCGAUUCCCGCUCCAGGCU